CCCCAUGAAAAAAGCUUUAAGGUGGUUGAGUUUUGCAUUUAGUUACUGCAGUAAUUCUAGUUUAAUAAAUUGUUUAGAUUAGAAUGAAUUUAAAUUGUGAAUUUUGAAUUAGGUUGUUUUAGUUGUUCUAUGUUGGCUAUUUAAAGCCCCUCUAUGCUUACGAAAUUUAUUGAAAGCUUAUUGAAAGCUUGAAAGUCAUUUCAAUCGAAAUUUAUUGAUAGCUUGAGAAUCAUUUCAAUCCAAAGAGAGUCAUUUUAACCCCUUUUC
rnacentral:lncRNA from 1 species